GACGAACGCUGGCGGCGUGCUUAACACAUGCAAGUCGAACGGAAAGGCCUGCUUUCCCUUGUGGAUUGCGGGUACUCGAGUGGCGAACGGGUGAGUAACACGUGAGUGAUCUGCCCCCAACUUGGGUAUAAGCCUGGGAAACUGGGUCUAAUUCCCGAUAGGACUGCAGGGUGGUGCCUGUGGUGGAAAACGAUUUUCUAGUGUUUGGGGAUGAGCUCGCGGCCUUUCAGCUUGUUGGUGGGGUAAUGGCCUACCAAGGCGGCGACGGGUAGCCGGCCUGAGAGGGUGGACGGGGACAUUGGGACUGAGACACGGCCCAGACUCCUGCGGGAGGCAGGAGUGGGGAAUAUUGGACGAUGGGCGGAAGCCUGAUGCAGCGACGCCGCGUGGGGGAUGUCGGCCUGCGGGUUGUAAACUCCUUUCGACCGCGAGGAAGCCACCUGGUUGGAAGGGUGGUGACGGUAGUGGUAGAAGAAGCACCGGCUAACUACGUG
rnacentral:rRNA from 1 species